UACGUAGGGUGCGAGCGUUGUCCGGAAUUAUUGGGCGUAAAGAGCUCGUAGGCGGUGUGUCGCGUCGGCCGUGAAAACCUGCAGCUUAACUGUGGGCUUGCGGUCGAUACGGGCAUCACUGGAGUUCGGCAGGGGAGACUGGAAUUCCUGGUGUAGCGGUGAAAUGCGCAGAUAUCAGGAGGAACACCAGUGGCGAAGGCGGCUACCUGGCACAUAACUGACGCUGAUACGCGAAAGCGUGGGGAGCGAACCGG
rnacentral:rRNA from 1 species